rnacentral:rRNA from 1 species
UACGUAGGGGGCAAGCGUUGUCCGGAUUUAUUGGGCGUAAAGAGCUCGUAGGCGGUUCGGUAAGUCAGGUGUGAAACCUCCAGGCUCAACCUGGAGACGCCACCUGAUACUGCUGUGACUCGAGUCCGGUAGGGGAGCGUGGAAUUCCUGGUGUAGCGGUGAAAUGCGCAGAUAUCAGGAGGAACACCAGCGGCGAAGGCGGCGCUCUGGGCCGGAACUGACGCUGAGGAGCGAAAGCGUGGGUAGCAAACAGG